rnacentral:rRNA from 1 species
GACGAACGCUGGCGGCGUGCUUUACACAUGCAAGUCGAACGGUGAAGGUGGAGCUUGCUCCGCCGGAUCAGUGGCGAACGGGUGAGUAACACGUGGGCAACCUACCCCUAACUUUGGGAUAACUACUCGAAAGAGUAGCUAAUACCGGAUAUGAAGUCUGUAGGCAUCUAUGGAUUUGGAAAGUUUUUCGGUUAGGGAUGGGCCCGCGGCCUAUCAGCUUGUUGGUGAGGUAGUGGCUCACCAAGGCGACGACGGGUAGCCGGCCUGAGAGGGCGACCGGCCACACUGGGACUGAGACACGGCCCAGACUCCUACGGGAGGCAGCAGUGGGGAAUAUUGCGCAAUGGGCGAAGGCCUGACGCAGCAACGCCGCGUGCGGGAUGAAGGCCUUCGGGUUGUAAACCGCUUUCAGCAGGGAAGAAGCGAAAGUGACGGUACCUGCAGAAGAAGCACCGGCUAACUACGUGCCAGCAGCCGCGGUAA